rnacentral:rRNA from 1 species
GGGGCUCGGAUCAGAGUGCCAAGUGGGCCAAUUUUGGUAAGCAGAACUGGCGCUGUGGGAUGAACCAAACGUCGAGUUAAGGCGCCUCAAUCGACGCUCAUGUGAAACCAUGAAAGGCGUUGGUUGCUUAAGACAGCAGGACGGUGGCCAUGGAAGUCGGAAUCCGCUAAGGAGUGUGUAACAACUCACCUGCCGAAGCAACUAGCCCUGAAAAUGGAUGGCGCUGUAGCGUCGUGCCUAUACUCGACCGUCAACGGCAAACCGUGGCCGGCGGGCAACCGUCGGCCGUUACGCCUUGACGAGUAGGAGGGCCGCGGCGACGAGCGUAGAAGGGUCUGGGCGUGAGCCUGCCUGGAGCCGUCGUCGGUGCAGAUCUUGGUGGUAGUAGCAAAUACUCCAGCGAGGCCCUGGAGGACUGAUGUGGAGAAGGGUUUCUUGUGAACAGCUGUUGCACAAGAGUCAGUCGGUCCUAAGCCCUAGGAGAAAUCCGAAGCGAUGGGUUGCCGUGAAUCACAACCACCGACGUGUUGGCACCCGUUCGGGCGAAAGGGAAUCCGGUUCCUAUUCCGGAACCUGGCAGUGGAACCGUUCCAAUUCGGGCCCUCUGAGGACUCGUCAGGGCAACCUGAAUAGACCCGGAGACGCCGGCAGGAGGUUGGGGGAGAGUUGUCUCUUCUCUAUAAGCGAUCGAGUUCCCUGGAAGCUUCUAGCAAGGAGAUAGGGUUUGGAUCGCGAAGAGCACUGCAGUUACGGCAGUGUCCCAAUCUUCCUCUCGGACCUUGAAAAUCCGGGUGAGGGCCACGAGGAACCCCACGCCAGACCGUA